AUACCAACUCCCCGAGUGGUCGGGACGUUUAUUGGGCUUAAAGCGUCCGUAGCCGGCCUGGUAAGUCCCCGGUUAAAUCCGGCGUCUCAAGCGCCGGGCUGCCGGGGAUACUGCCAGGCUAGGGAGCGGGAGAGGCGGGCGGUAUUCCCGGGGUAGGGGUAAAAUCCUCAGAUCCCGGGAGGACCAUCAGUGGCGAAGGCGGCCCGCUAGAACGCGUCCGACGGUGAGGGACGAAAGCUGGGGGAGCGAUCCGGAUUAGAAACCCUAGUAGUCCC
rnacentral:rRNA from 1 species